rnacentral:rRNA from 1 species
CAAUAGCGUAUAUUUAAGUUGUUGCAGUUAAAAAGCUCGUAGUUGGAUUUCGGAUGGGAUUUGCCGGUCCGUCGUUACGAUGUGCACUGGCCAGUCCUAUCUUGUUGUCGGGGACUAGCUCCUUGGAUUCACUUCCUGGGACUAGGAGCUGACGAGGUUACUUUGAGUAAAUUAGAGUGUUCAAAGCAAGCCUACGCUCUGAAUACAUUAGCAUGGAAUAACGCGAUAGGACUCUGGCUUAUCUUGUUGGUCUGUGAGACCAGAGUAAUGAUUAAGAGGGACAGUCGGGGACAUUCGUAUUUCAUUGUCAGAGGUGAAAUUCUUGGAUUUAUGAAAGACGAACUUCUGCGAAAGCAUUUGUCAAGGAUGUUUUCAUUA